UGUCUAGGGGAAUUUUCAUACUACCUCAUGG
rnacentral:piRNA from 1 species